rnacentral:pre_miRNA from 1 species
CAUAUACUCCUUCCGUCCCAAAAUUCUUGUCUUAGAUUUGUCUAGAUACGGAUGUAUCUAACACUAAAAUGUAACUAGAUACAUCCAUAUCUAGACAAAUUUAAGACGAGAAUUUUGGGACGGAGGGAGUACUAU